AACUUCAUAUGUCGACAUUCUAAUGCCCUAGGUGAUCAUAUUAGGAGGUGAAGGCUUUUGGAAAGUGAUUAGUUCAAAAGGGCAAGGCAAUCAUCUUUAGAAUUAGUGCUUUAUGGAAAAGAAAGUUAGCUAGCUUCUUCCACUAUUUCAGGACACAGCUAGAAGACACUGUCUAUGAGGAACAGGCCCUUACCAGAACUCAAAACUUCUGGAGCCUUGGUCUUGAGCGAAAGAAGUCAAAAACAAGAGGUCUCACCCAUAAUGUGUGAUUUUAUUUAUAUGAAAUGUCCAGAAAAGGCAAAUCUAUAGAGACAGAGAGACAACUAUUGUCUGCCUGAGGCAGAGCGAGGGAGCAAAGAUUAAAAGUUCAUGGGCAUGAGGGAUACAAGAAGGCAAGAAGAUAUAAGGAUAUAGAUACUAAAAUAUUUUCUGGAAAUGAAGUCAUGCCAGAAUAAAAAUAUACAUGCAAAACUACAGUCCAUAGUACCUGAAUUCUUAAACUUUGAACAACAUUCCACUGAUAACACAGAAAUACAAAAGAUCAUCAGAUACUAUUAUGAGCAACUCCAUGCUAACGAACUUGAAAAUCUAGAGGAAAUGCAUAAAUUUCUGAAAACAUACAACCUACCAUGAUUGAAACACAAAGAAAUAAAAAACCUGAGCAGACCGGUAACAAGUAAUGAGAUAGUAGCAGUAAUGAAGUCUCGCCCCCAAAAAAGUCCAGGAUCAGAUGGCUUCACUGAUUAUACUAAAUUAUACCAAACUUUCAAAGAGGAACUAACACCAAUUUUCCUUAAAGUAUUCCAAAAAUUUGAGGUAAUUCUCUCCUGUGUCCCUCCCACAACAUGUGGGAAUUCUGGGAGAUACAAUUCAAGUUGAGAUUUGGUGGGGAAACAGCCAAACCAUAUCAUUCCACCUUUGGCCCCUCCAAAUCUCAUGUCCUCAUAUUUCAAA
rnacentral:lncRNA from 1 species